rnacentral:tRNA from 1 species
CCUUGGCAAAGAGAAAUUUUACCAUUCGACCAUAUCCGCAUUUUUUGUUUAUGAUACAUAAUAUAUCCACA